UACGGGGGGGGCAAGCGUUGUUCGGAAUUACUGGGCGUAAAGGGCUCGUAGGCGGCCAACUAAGUCAGACGUGAAAUCCCUCGGCUUAACCGGGGAACUGCGUCUGAUACUGGAUGGCUCGAGUUUGGGAGAGGGAUGCGGAAUUCCAGGUGUAGCGGUGAAAUGCGUAGAUAUCUGGAGGAACACCGGUGGCGAAGGCGGCAUCCUGGACCAACACUGACGCUGAGGCGCGAAAGCUAGGGGAGCGAACGGG
rnacentral:rRNA from 1 species